CUCGCAGUCUGCUCCGGCUUCCGGCUCCCCGCGCUGCGCCCAGCUGCGCGUCCCGCCACCCGCCCCGGCAGCACCGACGCUCCCCAUGGACUCUUCUCCUGGAGUCAGGACGUGUCUGGACGGGUUGUUUGGAAAUUCAAGGGAAGCUUGGGGCUCCUUCCCUGGGGACUGGCUCGUCCUCCCUCGCCCUUGGUGGCGGUCGGGGGAAGGGGGUGUCUGCCGCAGCUGGAGACGCAGACCGGGGCAUCCCCCCAGGACUGGGCUCAGCUUCGAACGCGGACAGGGCGCCCCACUGCUGAACUCGGUGCCCCCCUUACCACGCUCCAGUUCGCCUCUAACGGCCUACAACUUUUUUUAAAAAUGUACUUUUAAAAAAUUCCGACUUUUUUGGUUUAUAUUGUUUUUAAGACAGCUUCAGAGUUUUCCUGGCCCCGUCCAGGAACACUGAUUUCAAAAGAAAACAAAAACAAAAACACCGAAUUAAAUACAGUCCUGAAGGCAGGGAGCCUGGGACGUGGCCUGCUGCUUGGUUAAGGCUACAUAACACAGGGUGUGGUGUCUUUCUUUUGACAAUGAGUUCCAAA
rnacentral:lncRNA from 1 species